AGCAGAAAGCUCUUACAGCCCCGAGAGCCUCAGGGAGCCAGGAAGCUUACAGAACCUUGCUGAAAAACACGGGAUCUAUAGCUAAAUCCAGAAAGCCCCCGGAGACCAUUUGGACCAACCCCUCCCACAGAAGAUACAGAAUGCCAAAUAUUCCAAUGUAAGGAUGGUCCUGAGAAAAAAGAUCCUUGGAAGUCUUUAGAGUGGUAAUCAUAUGCCAAUGUCCCUGCUGAGAGAUGGUAUAACCUCAUGUUGAACAGCUGCUGUUAGAGUGGUUAAAGCCCUGACCCCUGCCAUUCACUAUGGGAGAAGACAGCAACAGCUUUUCUGCCCCACUGGUGUUCUCUAGGGCUUUCUGACCCAGGUCCUCAUCAGCGCAGUCCCUAGCGUUGAGCCCAGCAACCCUAGGAUCAAGGCCUUGAAAGACAAGGUUUUGGGAUCUCCCAAAGGUAAUUGGGAUGUUUGGCAUUGUUUGCAUAUUAGUCUAGAAAACCUCACAUACAUCACUUGCUCCAGCACAGAUUACACUUCUUAAAAAAGACCCGAAAAGAACAUCAGGAUAUUAAAACACAAAACGCAACACAACUGUAUGUGAAUUUCUGUGCUCAAGAGAACAUAGUGAAAAUUAAUGUUGUGAUCUUUCUGAGCACAUAUCUUUUGCCAACAAUGUUUCUUCAACCACUGUUAACUAAAUCCAAGGACCUAUUACAUCGCAAAUGGAAGAUUAAAGAGAGUUUUUUUCUAAGCAGAUUUGUUGUACUCUUGCAAGGCAAUCUCUUGCUCAAUAGAAUUGUUUAUCUAUGGAAAAAUAUUUUACUUUGAGCAAACCUCCCUCAAAGACCCUAACAUAACUACUCUCUGAUAGCCAUUUUAGAGACACAUUGAGCAAAAGAUUCACAGUAACAGGAAGUUCAUGAAAUUACUCCUUUAGCACAAUAAAUUGUUCAAAACAAUUCUAAUAUAUUGAAGAGUUAAACUUCCUCAGAUAUUACAAUUAUAAAGAUUACAGAAAAGUAUUUUAUAUAUAUAGUUAUCUAAGAUUCUUUCUGUGGGUGG